rnacentral:rRNA from 1 species
AUUGAACGCUGGCGGCAGGCCUAACACAUGCAAGUCGAGCGGCAGCGGGAAAGUAGCUUGCUACUUUUGCCGGCGAGCGGCGGACGGGUGAGUAAUGCCUGGGAAAUUGCCCAGUCGAGGGGGAUAACAGUUGGAAACGACUGCUAAUACCGCAUACGCCCUACGGGGGAAAGCAGGGGACCUUCGGGCCUUGCGCGAUUGGAUAUGCCCAGGUGGGAUUAGCUAGUUGGUGAGGUAAUGGCUCACCAAGGCGACGAUCCCUAGCUGGUCUGGGAGGAUGAUCAGCCAAACUGGAACUGGGACACGGUCCAGACUCCUACGGGAGGCAGCAGUGGGGAAUAUUGCACAAUGGGGGAAACCCUGAUGCAGCCAUGCCGCAUGUGUGAAGAAGGCCUUCGGGUUGUAAAGCACUUUCAGCGAGGAGGAAAGGUUGAUGCCUAAUACGUAUCAACUGUGACGUUACUCGCAGAAGAAGCACCGGCUAACUCCGUGCCAGCCGCCGCGGUAA